rnacentral:misc_RNA from 1 species
GAUGAAGAACGUAGCGAAAUGCGAUACUUGGUGUGAAUUGCAGAAUCCCGUGAACCAUCGAGUCUUUGAACGCAAGUUGCGCCCGAAGCCAUUAGGCCGAGGGCACGCCUGCCUGGGCGUCACACGUCGUUGCCCCCCCAUCUACUCCUUCGGGAUUGCGGGGGGCGGAUGAUGGCCUCUCGUGCGCCUCGUCGCGCGGUUGGCCUAAAUGCCAAGUCCUCGGCGACGCACGCCACGACAAUCGGUGGUUGCGAAACCUCGGUUGCCUGUCGUGUGCGGUCGUCGCGCAUCGAGGGCUCGAAAAAAUUGCCGGGCUUCGGCUCGACUUUCAACGCGACCCCAGGUCAGGCGGGGUUACCCGCUGAAUUUAAGCAUAUCAAUGAGCGGAGGA